CAUUACGGCCAUAUCACGUUGAAUGCACCAGUUCUCAUCUGAUCACCGAAGUUAAGCAAAUUCGAGUCUUGUAAGUUCUUAGAUCGGUGACCGCUUGUGUAACCAAGGUGCUGUAAGCA
rnacentral:rRNA from 1 species